rnacentral:rRNA from 1 species
GUUUCGACGAGAACACCGAAAAAACCUAAUUCAGCUCUACGUAAGAUAGCAAAAGUACGGUUGAGCAAUCAACAUGAUAUAAUUGCUCACAUUCCAGGCGAAGGGCAUAAUUCGCAGGAACAUUCUAUAGUCUUAGUCAGAGGAGGUAGAGUGAAAGAUUCGCCAGGUGUGAAAUCCCAUCGUAUUCGAGGAGUCAAGGAUUUGCUGGGAAUUCAUUCAGUGGUAGCUUGGUGUGCACUCCAAGUUGAUCGGUAG